UACAGAGGGGGCAAGCGUUGUUCGGAAUUACUGGGCGUAAAGGGCGCGUAGGCGGCCUGCUAAGUCGAACGUGAAAUCCCCGGGCUCAACCCGGGAACUGCGUCCGAUACUGGCUGGCUUGAAUUCGGGAGAGGGAUGCGGAAUUCCAGGUGUAGCGGUGAAAUGCGUAGAUAUCUGGAGGAACACCGGUGGCGAAGGCGGCAUCCUGGACCGAGAUUGACGCUGAUGCGCGAAAGCCAGGGGAGCAAACGGG
rnacentral:rRNA from 1 species